AUGAGCUUCGAGGACCUUGAGGCGGGAGUCGUGCGGCCGGCGCCGCUGCCGCUGGCGCAGGUGGUGGCGCACGGCGUGUUCCAGAUCAACACCAAGGUGGUGGCGCUGCGGCACCUCGGCGACGCGCUGGGCACGCCCAAGGACACGCCCGCCCUCCGCGUCCGCCUCCGCUCGACGCGGGCCGAGGCCGCGUGGCUCGCCAGAAUCACGUCGUACAACCUCAAGCAAGCCGCCGCGGCCGGCGACGGAGGCACCGACGGGUCGACAUCCCCCUGCUCGAAGCUGGCCAUGGACUUCGAGGCGGCCCUGAGCGAGCUGCAGAAAGUCCAGCAGCGGAUCGUGGCGGCUGAGCGACAGGUCACCUCCUGUGCUGCUGCCGCCACUUCUGCUGGUGGUACAUUUGCCGGCCAUGAGCAGUGCACCGGGCAAACGCAGCAGCAGCUGCAACAGCAGCUUCUGUCGCAUGGAACGGAAGUCGAGGAGCUCGAGGCUGUCGUGGACGAGAGGGAGCGGGGGAUACGGGAGACGGAGCAGGUGAUCACCGAGAUCAACGAGAUCUUCAGGGACCUCUACGCGCUGGUCGACGAGCAGGCCUGCAGCGUCGACCACGUCGUGUGCGACAUCGAGACCGCCGCCGCGACGACAGGCCAGGCGGAAGAAGAGGUCUCUGCAUUGGCAGUGGAGGCCGAUCGGGUAUCGAGCUCCAGCUCGAGCUCGUCGACGAAGUACUUGCUGAUGUUUGUUGUUGGCAUCUUCUUGUUCAUCUUCCUGUUGGUGCUUGUAGGGUAG
rnacentral:rRNA from 1 species